GGCUCGGUAGCUUACUUGGUAAAGCGCUCGUCUAGCAUACACGAGUCCUGGGUUCGAAUCCAGGCCGACCA
rnacentral:tRNA from 1 species